rnacentral:rRNA from 1 species
AUUGAACGCUGGCGGCAGGCCUAACACAUGCAAGUCGAGCGAGCGGCGGACGCGGGUGUAAUGUCUGGGAAACUGCCUGAUGGGGGGGGGUAACUACUGGAAACGGUAGCUAAUACCGCAUACCCUCUGAUGUGCCCCGAUGGGAUUAGCUCGUAGGUGGGGUAACGGCUCACCUCGGCGACGAUCCCUAGCUGGUCUGAGAGGAUGACCAGCCACACUGGAACUGAGACACGGUCCAGACUCCUACGGGAGGCAGCAGUGGGGAAUAUUGCACAAUGGGCGCAAGCCUGAUGCAGCCAUGCCGCGUGUGUGAAGAAGGCCUUCGGGUUGUAAAGCACUUUCAGCGGGGAGGCGUUACCCGCAGAAGAAGCACCGGCUAACUCCGUGCCAGCAGCCGCGGUAAUAC